rnacentral:rRNA from 1 species
AUUGAACGCUGGCGGCAGGCCUAACACAUGCAAGUCGAACGAGUGGCGGACGGGUGAGUAAUGUCUGGGAAACUGCCCGAUUGAGGGGGAUAACUACUGGAAACGGUAGCUAAUACCGCAUACCAUCGGAUGUGCCCAGAUGGGAUUAGCUUGUAGGUGAGGUAACGACUCACCUAGGCGACGAUCCCUAGCUGGUCUAGGAGGAUGACCAGCCACGCGGGAACGGCGACACGGUCCAGACUCCUACGGGAGGCAGCAGGGGGAAAUAGUGCACAAGGGGAGGAAGCCUGAUGCAGCCAUGCCGGGUGUAUGAAGAAGGCCUUCGGGUUGUAAAGUACUUUCAGCGGGGAGGCGUUACCCGCAGAAGAAGCACCGGCUAACUCCGUGCCAGCAGCCGCGGUAAUAC